rnacentral:rRNA from 1 species
AGCGAACGCUGGCGGCAGGCUUAACACAUGCAAGUCGAGCGGGCCCUUCGGGUCAGCGGCAGACGGGUGAGUAACACGUGGGAACGUGCCCUUCGGUUCGGAAUAACUCAGGGAAACUUGAGCUAAUACCGGAUACGCCCUUUUGGGGAAAGGUUUACUGCCGAAGGAUCGGCCCGCGUCUGAUUAGCUAGUUGGUGGGGUAAUGGCCUACCAAGGCGACGAUCAGUAGCUGGUCUGAGAGGANGAUCAGCCACACUGGGACUGAGACACGGCCCAGACUCCUACGGGAGGCAGCAGUGGGGAAUAUUGGACAAUGGGCGCAAGCCUGAUCCAGCCAUGCCGCGUGAGUGAUGAAGGCCUUAGGGUUGUAAAGCUCCUUCGACGGGGACGAUAAUGACGGUACCCGUAGAAGAAGCCCCGGCUAACUUCGUGCCAGCAG